GCAGUUGGUGAAUUCCAUCGCCAAGACAUAUGUGGGAACCAACGCCUACAUGGCACCGGAGAGGAUAUCUGGGGAGCAGUAUGGUAUCCAUUCAGACGUCUGGAGCGUGGGCAUCUCCUUCAUGGAGGUGAGUGCAGAGUGCAGGUGUCUGUGUGUGUCUGUGAUUGCAGAGUGCAGGUGUCUGUGUGUGUCUGUGAUUGUAGAGUGCAGGUGUCUGUGUGUGUCUGUGAUUGCAGAGUGCAGGUGUCUGUGUGUGUCUGUGAUUGUAGAGUGCAGGUGUGUCUGUGUGUGUCUGUGAUUGUAGAGUGCAGGUGUGUCUGUGUGUGUCUGUGAUUGUAGAGUGCAGGUGUGUCUGUGUGUCUGUGAUUGCAGAGUGCAGGUGUUUGUGUGUGUCUGUGUGUCUGUGAUUGCAGAGUGCAGGUGUUUGUGUGUGUCUGUGUGUCUGUGAUUGCAGAGUGCAGGUGUUUGUGUGUGUCUGUGAUUGCAGAGUGCAGGUGUUUGUGUGUGUCUGUGAUUGCAGAGUGCAGGUGUUUGUUUGUGUGUGUCUGUGAUUGCAGAGUGCAGGUGU